rnacentral:rRNA from 1 species
UACAGAGGGUGAGAGCGUUAAUCGGAAUUACUGGGCGUAAAGCGCACGUAGGUGGCGACGUAAGCCGGGUGUGAAAGCCCCGGGCUCAACCUGGGAAUUGAAUUCGAGACUGCAUUGCUGGAGUACGGAAGAGGAGGGCGGAAUUCCCGGUGUAGCGGUGAAAUGCGUAGAUAUCGGGAGGAACAUCAGUGGCGAAGGCGGCCCUCUGGUCCAGUACUGACACUCAAGUGCGAAAGCGUGGGGAGCAAACAGG